GACGAACGCUGGCGGCGUGCUUAACACAUGCAAGUCGAACGGAAAGGCCCUGCUUUUGUGGGGUGCUCGAGUGGCGAACGGGCGAGUAACACGUGAGUAACCUGCCCUUGACUUUGGGAUAACUUCAGGAAACUGGGGCUAAUACCGGAUAGGAGCUCCUGCUGCAUGGUGGGGGUUGGAAAGUUUCGGCGGUUGGGGAUGGACUCGCGGCUUAUCAGCUUGUUGGUGGGGUAGUGGCUUACCAAGGCUUUGACGGGUAGCCGGCCUGAGAGGGUGACCGGCCACAUUGGGACUGAGAUACGGCCCAGACUCCUACGGGAGGCAGCAGUGGGGAAUAUUGCACAAUGGGCGGAAGCCUUAUGCAGCAACGCCGCGUGCGGGAUGACGGCCUUCGGGUUGUAAACCGCUUUCGCCUGUGACGAAGCGUGAGUGACGGUAAUGGGUAAAGAAGCACCGGCUAACUACGUG
rnacentral:rRNA from 1 species